rnacentral:rRNA from 1 species
GAUGAACGCUGGCGGCGUGCCUAAUACAUGCAAGUCGAGCGAACGGACGAGAAGCUUGCUUUUCUGAUGUUAGCGGCGGACGGGUGAGUAACACGUGGAUAACCUACCUAUAAGACUGGGAUAACUUCGGGAAACCGGAGCUAAUACCGGAUAAUAUUUUGAACCGCAUGGUUCAAAAGUGAAAGACGGUCUUGCUGUCACUUAUAGAUGGAUCCGCGCUGCAUUAGCUAGUUGGUAAGGUAACGGCUUACCAAGGCAACGAUGCAUAGCCGACCUGAGAGGGUGAUCGGCCACACAGGAACUGAGACACGGUCCAGACUCCUACGGGAGGCAGCAGUAGGGAAUCUUCCGCAAUGGGCGAAAGCCUGACGGAGCGACGCCGCGUGAGUGAUGAAGGUCUUCGGAUCGUAAAACUCUGUUAUUAGGGAAGAACAUAUGUGUAAGUAACUGUGCACAUCUUGACGGUACCUAAUCAGAAAGCCACGGCUAACUACGUG